rnacentral:misc_RNA from 1 species
GAUGAAGAACGUAGAGAAAUGCGAUAAGUAAUGUGAAUUGCAGAAUUCAGUGAAUCAUCGAAUCUUUGAACGCACAUUGCGCCCUCUGGUAUUCCGGGGGGCAUGCCUGUCCGAGCGUCAUUGCUGCCCUCAAGCACGGCUUGUGUGUUGGGCCUCCGUCCUCCUCCCGGGGGACGGGCCCGAAAGGCAGCGGCGGCACCGCGUCCGGUCCUCGAGCGUAUGGGGCUUCGUCACCCGCUCUUGUAGGCCCGGCCGGCGCUUGCCGACACAUCAAUCUUUUUUCCAGGUUGACCUCGGAUCAGGUAGGGAUACCCGCUGAACUUAAGCAUAUCAAUAAGCGGAGGA